GGGCCCCUCUGGGUGCCAUCCAUUCCAACGUGCGGAUUCUGACAAGUGGCUCCUUCUCUCCAUCGGAGGCCAAAGUGAGGCCACUUGGAUGGACCAUCUGCUGGCUUUUGGCCUCAGCUGAUGGCCCAUCCUCAGUAUGCCAGUGUGGUGCACCCCCGCAGAGCAAGCAAGGAGAAGGGAGAAAUGUAUGCAGACUCUCUGAUGAGGCAGAAG
rnacentral:lncRNA from 1 species